rnacentral:rRNA from 1 species
GUCCCGAGCUAUGCUUACACAUGCGUCGAACGGUCUCUUCGGAGAUAGUGGCGGACGGGUGAGUAACGCGUGAGAAUCUAGCUCUAGGUCGGGGACAACCACUGGAAACGGUGGCUAAUACCGGAUGUGCCGGAAGGUGAAAGAUUUAUUGCCUAGAGAUGAGCUCGCGUCUGAUUAGCUAGUUGGUAAGGUAAGAGCUUACCAAGGCGACGAUCAGUAGCUGGUCUGAGAGGAUGAUCAGCCACACUGGGACUGAGACACGGCCCAGACUCCUACGGGAGGCAGCAGUGGGGAAUUUUCCGCAAUGGGCGAAAGCCUGACGGAGCAAUACCGCGUGAGGGAGGAAGGCUCUUGGGUUGUAAACCUCUUUUCUCAGGGAAGAAGAAAGUGACGGUACCUGAGGAAUAAGCAUCGGCUAACUCCGUGCCAGCAGCCGCGGUAAUACGGAGGAUGCAAGCGUUAUCCGGAAUGAUUGGGCGUAAAGCGUCCGCRGGUGGCUAUGUAAGUCUGCUGUUAAAGAAUGAGGCUCAACCUCAUCAAAGCAGUGGAAACUACAUAGCUAGAGUGCGUUCGGGGUAGAGGGAAUUCCUGGGUGUAGCGGUGAAAUGCGUAGAGAUCAGGAAGACACCGGUGGCGAAAGCGCUCUACUAGGCCGCAACUGACACUGAGGACGAAGCUAGGGGAGCGAUGGUAUAGAUACCCCAGUAGUCCUAGCCGUAAACGAAUGGAUAACCUUAGGCGGGCCUUUCAU